GGGGCUGGGGCUCAGCGGUAGAGCGUUCACUUCGCAUGUGGGAGGUGCUGGGUUCAAUCCUCAGCACCA
rnacentral:tRNA from 1 species